rnacentral:rRNA from 1 species
CAAUAGCGUAUACUAAUGUUGUUGCAGUUAAAAAGCUCGUAGUUGAACUUCUGGUAGGAGUGUCCCGGCCUUUUUGUUUUUACAAAUUGCAUGCUGUGUGACAUCUCUGGCCAUCCUUCUUCUUUGUUUAAAGAAGAUCUUUCACUGUAAAAAAAUUAGGGUGUUCAAAGCAAAAGUUUCUUUGGAAUAUAUUAGUAUGGGAUGAUAAGAUAGGCUCUAGAUGCUAUUUUGUUGGUUUGCACAUUUAGAGAAUGAUUAACAGGGACAGUUGGGGGUAUUCGUAUUUACAUGUCAGAGGUGAAAUUCUUGGAUUUUGGAAAGACGAACUACUGCGAAAGCAUUUACCAAGGAUGUUUUCAUUAA